rnacentral:rRNA from 1 species
GACGAACGCUGGCGGCGUGCUUAACACAUGCAAGUCGAACGGAAAGGCCCUGCUUUUGUGGGGUGCUCGAGUGGCGAACGGGUGAGUAACACGUGAGUAACCUGCCCUUGACUUUGGGAUAACUUCAGGAAACUGGGGCUAAUACCGGAUAGGAGCUCCUGCUGCAUGGUGGGGGUUGGAAAGUUUCGGCGGUUGGGGAUGGACUCGCGGCUUAUCAGCUUGUUGGUGGGGUAGUGGCUUACCAAGGCUUUGACGGGUAGCCGGCCUGAGAGGGUGACCGGGCACAUAGGGGGUGAGAGACACGGCACAGUCCUCUGGGGGGGAGAGGUGGGGGAUAUAGCGCAAUGGGCGGGAGAGCGUUACACCAAAGCGCCGUGCGCGAUAUGGGGGUUUGCGGUUUAAAAACCGUUUGCCUCUGAGACAAAGUGAGUGAGGGGGAUGGGUAUAAAAGAGCCCGGUCUAACCGUG